rnacentral:tRNA from 1 species
GUGGGUAUAGAUCAGUUGGCUAGAUCGUUAGAUUGUGGCUCUAAAGGCCGUGGGUUCGAGUCCCACUAUCCACCCCA